rnacentral:miRNA from 1 species
CAGAGCUUAGUUGACUGCUGACC